UAGCAAUUUUAAGCCAGUGAUUUAAACAAUGGAUUGGGAUGGAAAAGCUCUGAAAAGUUAAAUUUGUGGCUGACACAAAGAACUCGAAUAUUUACCAAAAGUAAUAGGAAUGUGUAAAUGUGUUUUGGUGGUAAACUGUCCUUCAUUUAGAAUUAGUUGAGAAGCUGGUGUAUGCAGGUGUGAGAGGCGGUGCCCAGCCUGAGGGCUGUGCCUGUGGUGACACUGGCAUGCUGCUCUGGGGAAAUGGGUGCUGUAGGGGAAAUAAGCUAGGGUUAGGGAAGUUUUCUUUUAAUUUUAAUUUUGAAAUAAUUGUAGAGCCAGGGGAGGUUGCAGCUAAGAGUAGACAUGGCCAAUGUCCGUCUAGUGCAUCUGUGCUGUGCGUCUUAGUGGAACCUGCCCAGCAACUGUCGUGCUACAGUUGAGAGGUUUGUCGUUUCUAACAACGUGACUGUGCCUGGCUUAGGCAGGAUGGCAGCUGAUCUGGGGGUGGGGGUCUCCCCCUGGGCUCCACGUCUCAGCUCUGUUAGGGAGUUACGGCAUGUGUUCAGGUACGGUUUUCUCCACGUUACCCCCUUGCAGUUACAGAGAUGCUUGGAUUUGUGGAUUAUUUUCUUUCAUGAAUUUCAGA
rnacentral:lncRNA from 1 species